CGGCGGACGGGUGAGUAACGCGUGGGUAACCUACCCUGUACACACGGAUAACAUACCGAAAGGUAUGCUAAUACGGGAUAAUAUAUUUGAGAGGCAUCCCUUGAAUAUCAAAGGUGAGCCAGUACAGGAUGGACCCGCGUCUGAUUAGCUAGUUGGUAAGGUAACGGCUUACCAAGGCGACGAUCAGUAGCCGACCUGAGAGGGUGAUCGGCCACAUUGGAACUGAGACACGGUCCAA
rnacentral:rRNA from 1 species